UACAGUAGAAGGACCUUACCUAAUCUCCUAAACACAGCUGCCAUCUAACCUAUUCACAUCGACACCACCAAAGAUGCAGUGAAGACUUCCCCUUUCCAACUUCAUCCGAUGAUUCGAGGGAAACCUAGGAGGCGAACGUAGAUCAGAAACCAUGAAGACUUCCUUUUCCGUUUAAUCCGUUAUCAGACCAGGACAGUAAUGAAGUGGCGGAUUAAAUUGGGUAUCCGUAAUGUUAUCAGGUAAGAAUGCUCCAUUUUCAAUUAGAAAUCUGAUUGCUCUUCUGUUCUUCUCUUUUGUAGCAGUGUGAAGUGGAGUCCCUAAUGGAUAUGUUCAAGAAAAUUACAAGACAGUACAAGGACCUUACCUAAUAUCCUAAACACAGCUGCCAUCUAACCUAUUCACAUCGACAACACCAAAGAUGCGGUGAAGACUUCCCCUUUCCGUUCGAUUGAUUGAUCUGUGGAGGGAAACCUCUGAUCUUGAUAUGUUGUUUGAAAAGAAGGAAAAAUUAGGGCAAUAUUUUUUAGAUCUGUAACGGAUGCGGUGAUGAACCGAUCAAACCUCUGCUUUGGUGAAUGCCCGUGUGGAGUGGAAAGAAACCCCGGAGGCACACGUAGAUCAGAAACCGUCAUUUAUAAGGUUUUUCCGUUCGAUUGAUUGAUCCGUGGAGGGAAACCUCUGAUCUUGAUCCGUUGUUUGAAAAAAAAAGGAAAAAUUAGGGCUAGAUUUUUUAGAUCUGUAACGGAGGCGGUGAUAAAGAUAGAAUACUGCUACUCAAGGGUGUUAGUGGAGCUUUCAGGCCUGGUGUUCUCACAGCUCUGAUGGGAGUUAGUGGCGCCAGAAAAACCACUCUCAUGAACAUGCUUGCCGGUAUCCAAAAAAACAAGAAACAUUCACACGUAUUUCUGGAUAUUGUGAACAAAACGACAUCCAUUCACCUCAUGUUACUGUUUACGAGUCUUUGCUAUACUCAGCCUGGCUCAGGUUAGCCACAGAUGUCGAUGAACACAAGAGAAAGAUGAAGUGAUGGACCUUGUGGAAUUGAAUCCAUUGAAGGAUGCGUUAGUUGGAUUGCCAGGUGUCAAUGGUUUAUCAACUGAGCAACGAAAGAGGUUAACAAUAACGGUUGAGUUAGUGGCUAACCCGUCUAUAAAUAAAUUUCUAGCUUUAUUUGAAGUUCAUUUUUACAAAAUCGGCCUCCCGUUAUUACUCCUUAUCCGUAAAAGUUGAUAAAGAAAGACAUUUUAGUCCUUUUUUUUUUUUACAGUUUUUAGCAAUUUAGGGUUCAAUUUUCAUGACUCAUAACCCUCUCACUCCCAUAGCCCCUCACAAAAUUUUGAUCAUCGUUAAUACCUCAUUUGUCAUUCCCGUUCAUUCAAGUUUCCUUGCUCAUGCUGUCAUGCAAUUAAUGCUCUCCAAAAAACACUGCAAAGCUACAAACGACUACAUGACCAUGGAUAGUCUCCGCUCACUACUUCGAUGAAAAUUGGAACUUUGUAAUUUAUGUUUGAAAAAUUGCAACACUAAUCUUUUAAGAUAAUAUUUGGUUUUGUUGUUUCCCAAACCGAACUAAACCAAAUUAGAAUUUGGUUUUGGUUUGGUUUAGACGAAUUUGAAUUCGAUUUGGUUCAUUUUCACUAGA